GUGAGGAAUAUUGGACAAUGGCCGAGAGGCUGAUCCAGCCAUGCCGCGUGCGGGAAGACGGCCCUAUGGGUUGUAAACCGCUUUUGUUGGAGAGCAAUAAGUUCUACGUGUAGAGCGAUGAGAGUAUCCAGCGAAUAAGCAUCGGCUAACUCCGUGCCAGCAGCCGCGGUAAUACGGAGGAUGCAAGCGUUAUCCGGAUUUAUUGGGUUUAAAGGGUGCGUAGGCGGAAGAUUAAGCGUGAGGUGAAAUGCCACUGCUCAACAGUGGAACUGCCUCGCGAACUGGUUUUCUGGAAUGCCCCUGCCGUGGGAGGAAUGUGUGGUGUAGCGGUGAAAUGCAUAGAGAUCACACAGAACACCGAUUGCGAAGGCAUCUCACGAAGGGGUGAUUGACGCUGAGGCACGAAAGCGUGGGGAUCAAACAGG
rnacentral:rRNA from 1 species